rnacentral:rRNA from 1 species
GACGAACGCUGGCGGCGUGCUUAACACAUGCAAGUCGAACGGAAAGGCCCUGCUUUUGUGGGGUGCUCGAGUGGCGCACGGGUGAGUAACACGUGAGUAACCUGCCCUUGACUUUGGGAUAACUUCAGGAAACUGGGGCUAAUACAGGAUAGGAGCUCCUGCUGCAUGGUGGGGGUUGGAAAGUUUCGGCGGUCGGGGAUGGACUCGCGGCUUAUCAGCUUGUUGGUGGGGUAGUGACUUACCAAGGUUUUGACGGGUAGCCGGCCUGAGAGGGUGACCGGCCACAUUGGGACUAAGGUACGGCCCAGACGCCUACGGGAGGCAGCAGUGGGGAAUAUGGCACAGUGGGCGGAAGCCUGAUGCAGCAACGCCGCGUGCGGGAUGACGGCCUUCGGGUUGUAAACCGCUUUCGCCUGUGACGAAGCGUGAGUGACGGUAAUGGGUAAAGAAGCACCGGCUAACUACGUG